GGAGAGAUGGCCGAGUCGGUCGAAGGCGGUCGCCUGCUAAGCGAUUAAGCGGGAUUAAAACCUGCUUCGAGGGUUCGAAUCCCUCUCUCUCCGCCA
rnacentral:tRNA from 3 species